GACGAACGCUGGCGGCGUGCUUAACACAUGCAAGUCGAACGGAAAGGCCCUGCUUUUGUGGGGUGCUCGAGUGGCGAGCGGGUGAGUAACACGUGAGUAACCUGCCCUUGACUUUGGGAUAACUUCAGGAAACUGGGGCUAAUACCGGAUAGGAGCUCCUGCUGCCUGGUGGGGGUUGGAAAGUUUCGGCGGUUGGGGAUGGACUCGCGGCUUAUCAGCUUGUUGGUGGGGUAGUGGCUUACCAAGGCUUUGACGGGUAGCCGGCCUGAGAGGGUGACCGGCCACAUUGGGACUGAGAUACGGCCCAGACUCCUACGGGAGGCAGCAGUGGGGAAUAUUGCACAAUGGGCGGAAGCCUGAUGCAGCAACGCCGCGUGCGGGAUGACGGCCUUCGGGUUGUAAACCGCUUUCGCCUGUGACGAAGCGUGAGUGACGGUAAUGGGUAAAGAAGCACCGGCUAACUACGUG
rnacentral:rRNA from 1 species